UGAUAAGAAACAUCAAUUUCAGCAUCUUC
rnacentral:piRNA from 1 species